rnacentral:tRNA from 89 species
GCGCCCUUAGCUCAGCUGGAUAGAGCACGUCCCUUCUAAGGAUGUGGUCGUAGGUUCGAAUCCUACAGGGCGUGCCA